GGGUGGUUACUAUAUUAUUAAAGAGCCAUUCCUGGGUUCCAUGUAUGUUUUUACAUGUCUGUCCUUAUUGGUUUCAGGUCCAUUUCCAUUACAUUUCCUAGGACACUUUUUUGGGUAUGACCAAUAUAAUAACACACAGUAAAUUAGAUUAAGGAACAGGGGAUAAUAACUUACUACUGUUUGAUAAGGAAUACAAUAAAGAUAUUAACAGUAUUACACUUAUAGUUUCAGUUUAAACUAACACU
rnacentral:lncRNA from 1 species